rnacentral:lncRNA from 1 species
UUUUAUGUUUAAUGUGUUUUUUUUAUAGAAAUUGUUCCAUCAUAAUUAUCUUAAUUUCCUAAUGACAAUCUACAAUAAAUGAAUUCACAAAAAUAAGACAGGAAGUCUUGUUCCUCUUGCACCUAAGAGAAAACCGAUUGGUUCAAAGUGAACAUACAAAAUAAUGUAUAAUCCAAAUGGAACAAUAGGUAAACAUAAAGGAGGCUUCUUGCUCAAGUUUUUUCUCAUAAACAUUUAUUUAUGAAAAAAGUCUUUAAUAAUUGUUUUUUACAAUUAUUUCACAUCAUGAGACUUGUAGUCAUGUUGUGAACAUUGUUAUUUCCAAAAAUGACAAAUAAGACAAGUUGAUAUUAACAAUACUUUCUUAAAUGACUACAUUCAAGAAAAAAAAAAAGUUUAUAUGAAACAACGUAAUUGGUUUGAAAGACUGACAUCCACUCUUAUUCAUCUUGGAUUUUCACCACUAAAAUUUGAUGCUUCUCUCUUCAUUCAAAUGGAAAACUCUCUUUACUAUGCAAUCAUAACAAUUCCUCACAUAGCUUUUCUUGUCAGACUCCUUUUUUAUCAUUAGAAAGUAGUAAGGAAAGUUCUUGUAUACAUAAAUAGAACGUUAGACCACGAUUACUUUAUAAAUAAUCUCAAAACCUCAACAUAGACUAGAUAUUUGAUUCUUCUAACUUCAAGUCUACCACCACUAAAUUCAGAACCAUGACUACUUUUGAUACUAAAAUAUAAUAAUUAAAGUCUCUCACUAAGAACAACUUUUGAUAUGGGUGACAACCUAAGGAUUUCUGGUUUGUCAAUCAUAAGAAAAAAUCACAGUGAUCUCCUAACCAAAGCUUCUUCUAGUGCUACUUUUUCUUUUAUCAAGACCCAAAUUGAAUGGUAGAUCUAAAACUACACUCAAUUCAAAAUGGACUUAGUUUCUUAUUAUUUUUCUGUUUAGCAUUUUAGGAUAAUUCUCCUUUAUAUAUCUCUUCUCAUUUUCUUUCCAAACUAGUUUUUAUUUUGUAGUAGAUUAUUCUAAGUGUAUGUAUUUAUUGAUGUAUCUUUUCUUCUUCUUUCCUUUCUACCCCAUGCUUUAAUUUUCUUACAAACAUAUUAGUUAGACAUCAUACAUAUAUAUAUAAAAGGAAUAAUGAUAAUGUUGUCAUCUGAUGGUUCCAGUGCUCAACGUCUUAAGCAACACGCAACCCAAAACCGAUAUUUUUAAGCUAAAGAAAAUUUUCUUUGACACUUUUAAAAUCGAAUCAAAUCUCAUUAUAUUCAUAAAGAUCAACCCCUUCAACCACCAAUAUCUUCUCUAAACAAACAAUCCAAGAGAUUAAAGAAUGAAAACCAUUCUAUAUUUACUAAAAAAAAUUGUGCAUAAAAUUCUUUACCCAUAGGAAAAGUUUAAGGAGAUUUUCUUUAAAGAGAACUAAUUUAAAAAAAAUAAAUAAAAAACAUUAACUUUUAAUUAUACAGUUUCAAAAUUGAUCUUAAACAGAAUUCAAAACUAUAGUGUAAAAUCACAUAAAUUUGCUUUUAUGCUUUUUUGAAAGUAUGCAAUUGCAUAGUAAUGUUUUACUUUACCAUUAGAAAUAUCCAUCCCAUAACGUUUUUCUUUUUUUGAGGGUCAAGUCAUUUUCUACUCCAAUUCUUGUGCCGGACGUCACAUUCCACAAAUAUAUUCACGCCAUUGCCCUUCAUCAUUUCAUCCAGCCACUGGCAUGCAAUGGGAUACAGUGAGUCAAUCAUUCAUUCUAUUCAGGAUAAAGAUUAUGUGUUUUAUAAUCACACCAAACUCUCCACAUAACUUUAUCCUGUUCUUGGACCCAACUCAGUCCCGUUAUGCGUUAUCUUCUUCUUCCUUCUUGCCUUCCCCACUAGCCACCCAAAAUAUAUUCCCUGCAAAACAAACAAUUAUUUAAUAUCAAAUCACCAAGCAUUAAAACAACAUAAAUAUAAAUAAACAAAUAAACUCAUAACGGAAAAACAUUAAUACGUAUUAAUACGUAUUCACACCAACCAAGAAAACGCAUACAGAACAGUAAACUGAAAAGAGGAGAGAAAACAAGCAGUUUCAAAAAAGACCUAGUUGAUAAAAAUACACAAGGCUGAAACGAAGAAGUGACAAGCGAAUACCACGGAAAAGUUUAUGACAAACGUCACGUCACCGGAAGUGUUAAAAACUUUUACAACAAAAAAGAAAACAGAGGAUCUAUAGUGAACCGGAAAAAAAAUUGAAAGACAAAGUUUAGACUGGAUCCAGUAUUCAGUUUUAAUUUAGGAUUGGUUGUUUGUUUUAAAUUUUGAAUCAAAAUCAUUUUCCUCAAAAUUAGGUCCAGAAGCUCCACGAAUGGCCAUCAAUGGCUGCAACUGAUUAAUAUAAGUUCUGUAUUAUGUACACAGAUACACACGCACACAGACCAAGCACAUAAUCAAUUUUCGUUAGAUUUUGAAAUCCGUCAGAUCCCGAGCCAGCGCGACAGGAUCCGUCGCCCCUGCCGUCGUGGCCCGGAAUAAUGAAGGUAGACAAAACCAAAGCGACGUUAGAUUCAAAGGUCCUCUGCUUUUGUCAUGACUGAGAGCCUGCUCGGCCUCGGAUGAAAGUCCCCACGCCGUCUCUGCUGGUGCGAGGAAGGUCGAAUCAACGCUGCGAGAGCUCGUUUGACGAGAUCUCCCUCAACUCCGCGAAUUCUCACGAGCGAGUUCGUCAUCGCCGAUCUGCGCGCGUUGAGGCGAUUCGGGGAGUACGGCGCCGGCGCGUGGCUCUUCUUGUGGAGGCUGCAGCGGAAGGAGCCAGGGUGCGUCGUAGGCGAGCACAUGCACGUCCGCUUCGGCUGGUGCGGGUUAAUACUCCCCUGUCUGGACGCGGCGGCUCGCGGCGCGACCGCGAUGGAGCGGUUCGGGGAGACGGAGCGGUGGUCGAGGGAGAACCGCAAGGAGGGAGCGGAGGAACCGCAGAGGUUGACACGAGUGGGAGAAGAAGAGCGGUUUAAAAAGGUGGUUGAAGGAGAAGAGAAGCUGGAAGUGGAAGAUGCAAAACCUGAGGGUGAAGAAGAGGAGGAGGAAGAGCGAAAGUGAGAGUUGUAGAAUCUGGGAGUAGAUGAGAGGGAUCCAAUUACUGCGUUUCUUGAUUUUCUAGAAGCUGCCGCCAUUUUUUCUGUUUCAGAGAAAAAAUCGCGAGUGAGGGAAAAAGGAAAGUGAAGAAGUAUGGGAGUUUUUUUUUUUUUUUUCUCCCUAAAGGCCGGGUUCGGCUCUUCGGUUUGGCAAACCUAGCUUUACUCGAGGCAUGUAUAUAUAGAAUUUUGAAGAAGAGCAAUAGGUAGACAUGUGUUUGUUUGGCGUAGGCAAAGGUUGACGAAAUUUUGAGUUUGGGAUAUUAACUUUGUGGAAUUGUGUUGUAGUCCCUGAUUAUUGUUGUUUUGAAUUGAAAAGAGAGGAGAAGGAUGGAACAGCAAAAAAAGUGAAGAAUAGUGUAGAAGAGCGGUUAACCAAAAGCGGUUUGGGGUUGGGUUAGUUAACCAAAAGUGUAGAAGAGCCCUCGGAAUUGCAAUGGAACCGCUUUAAGUUUGAGAAAGCUAUGGGCAGCAGACGACAAAAAAAUAUUGAACCGUUUUAAUUCUACUGACACGUCUCCUAAUUCUCUAUCCUUCUCCCACGUACUACUGUCACUUGUAAGUCACUAAACUACCCUUCUCAUUCUUUUUUUAUUCCUUUACUAGUAUUCUGAUAUGUCAAUG